rnacentral:lncRNA from 1 species
UAUAAUGGCUGGAAACCCUGACCUCGAUCUCAUACCACGAUAUAUAUUCAAUAUUGCCCUUCACUUAAAUAUUUGAUCACCAUGGGAUCCAUCGUUAGUAGUAAGUGGUUGGUAGCAACAACUAAUUUGAGCAUUCUGUGUUUCUUCGUCCUGCUUCUUUGCCUGCAACAACCUGUUGCGGAGGCAAGGGUUCUGAAGUUAGGAUUGCAUCCAAAUUAUGGUGUUCCAUUCCACAUUCUGCGGAGUUGUUCAGGGGCUUCUUGUGAAACCAACGGAUCCACUCCUCCACCGUCAUGUUGUAACUCGUCCUAAAUAUGCUUUCUUGGGGCCGGUUCCAACGGAUCUGCUCCGUGUGCACGCGCGCCAUAUCCCUGAAAACUAGCUAGCUAGCUAGGUAUAAUAUAUAUCAGAAUGUAGAACAAUCAUGUAUUAAUGGAAUUAGACCGGCCGAGUGUGUAUUUAUGAAAAAUAAAUAAAUGUAAUCGGAUUAUUUGUCAAAAUAAAAAAGGUGGUGAUUUUGUUUUUUCAAUAGCAUCGUGGUGUGUAUUUAUGAAAAAUAAAUGUAAUCGGAUUAUUUGUCAAAAUAAAAAGGUGAUGAUUUUAUUUUUCAAUAGCAUCGUAGUGUGUAUUUAUGAAAAAUAAAUGUAAUUGGAUUAUUUGUUAAAAUAAAAAAAUGGUGAUUUUGUUUUUUCAAUAGUGGUGUGUAUUUAUGAAAAAUAAAUGUAAUCGGAUUAUUUGUCAAAAUAAAAAGGUGGUGAUUUUAUUUUUCAAUAACAUCGUGAUGUGUAUUUAUGAAAAAUAAAUGUAAUUGGAUUUGUCAAAAUAAAAAGGUGGUGAUUUUGUAUUUCAAUAGCAUCGUGGUGUGUAUUUAUGAAAAAUAAAUGUAAUCGGAUUAUUUGUCAAAAUAAAAAAGGUGGUGAUUUUGUUUUUCAAU